rnacentral:misc_RNA from 1 species
AACUUUUAACAAUGGAUCUCUUGGCUCUCGCAUCGAUGAAGAACGCAGCGAAAUGCGAUACGUAAUGUGAAUUGCAGAAUUCCGUGAAUCAUCGAAUCUCUGAACGCACCUUGCGCCUCUUGGUAUUCCGAGGGGCAUGCCUGUUUGAGUGUCAUUGAAUCCCUCAAAAAGAGAAAGCUUUUAAUGGCUUUCUCUCUUUUGGACUUGGGGUGUGCUGGCCUUUUCUUGGAAAGCUCGGCUCCCCUGAAAUACAUUAGCGAUGUGACAUCCUCGUGCUCCGCGCUUCUCUGGCAUUGAUAGUCUUUUCAUGCUUAGGAGCGCGUUCUGCAGCUGUGGAAAGUUUCGCUUGCUCACAACUGAUGGGUUUUAACCCAUCCUCUGACCAAUUUAACCUCAAAUCAGGUAGGAUUACCCGCUGAACUUAAGCAUAUCAAUAAGCGGAGGCU